UGCCGGCGACCGGCGCACGGGUGAGUAACACGUAUGCGACCUGGCCCCCGCAGGGGAUAACCGGGAGAAAUCCCGACUAAUACCGCGUAACGCCGCGGACCUGCAUGGGUCUGCGGCCAAAGGAAGCGAUUCCGGCGGGGGAUGGGCAUGCGGCGCAUUAGCUAGUCGGCGGGGUAACGGCCCACCGAGGCGACGAUGCGUAGGGGUUCUGAGAGGAAGGUCCCCCACACUGGUACUGAGACACGGACCAGACUCCUACGGGAGGCAGCAG
rnacentral:rRNA from 1 species